GAUGAACGCUGGCGGCGUGCUUAACACAUGCAAGUCGAACGAAGCACUUUGAUCGAUUUCUUCGGAUUGAAAUUUUAGUGACUGAGUGGCGGACGGGUGAGUAACGCGUGGGUAACCUGCCUCACACAGGGGGAUAACAGUUGGAAACGGCUGCUAAUACCGCAUAAGCGCACAGUACCGCAUGGUACAGUGUGAAAAACUCCGGUGGUGUGAGAUGGACCCGCGUCUGAUUAGCUAGUUGGCAGGGUAACGGCCUACCAAGGCGACGAUCAGUAGCCGACCUGAGAGGGUGACCGGCCACAUUGGGACUGAGACACGGCCCAAACUCCUACGGGAGCAGCAGUGGGAAUAUUGCACAAUGGGGGAAACCCUGGAUGCAGCGACGCCGCGUGAGCGAAGAGUAUUUCGGUAUGUAAAGCUCUAUCAGCAGGGAAGAAGAAUGACGGUACCUGACUAAGAAGCACCGGCUAAAUACGUGCCAGCAGCC
rnacentral:rRNA from 1 species